GUUUUGUGGUAAAGCAGUAAAAAUUCCUGCGGGUGUUGGACGUUGUUUUCCUAUUUCAAUGGCGCUUAUCGACGGACACUGGCGGCGUCGUUGAUAAGGUUCCAGGAUCCUAUAAAUGGAAGGUUUCAACUUCAUUUUGGUCAAAGUAAUAAUUCUGCAAACUUCACUUCGCCGGACUAUAUCCGUAACUAUAACUUUCUGAAAGGUUUUGCUGGGAUGAAGAGCAAGAAUAGUCUUAACAUCAAACAGCGUUCAGAGCAGCAUGACAGACAACAGUUGAUUGAUAUAACCAAAGAUAUUGAACGGAUUAGCUAGUAUUUAUCGUCAGUAGUGGACGCAGUAAGUCAAUUAAUAUGGAGUGGUGGUAGUUAUCGUCAGUAGUGGACCCUGAAAGUCCAUUAAUAAUGGUGGUAGUUAAAGCUACCCAUAAGUUUUAUACCUAGAGAAACUGACCGGGUUUGUUAAUUAAUAAAGGCUUAUAAAGAUUUGUCUAUGCUAAA